UACGGGGGGGGCAAGCGUUGUUCGGAUUUACUGGGCGUAAAGGGCGCGUAGGCGGCCAGCACAAGUCAGUUGUGAAAUCUCCGGGCUUAACUCGGAAAGGUCAACUGAUACUGUGCGGCUAGAGUGCGGAAGGGGCAACUGGAAUUCUCGGUGUAGCGGUGAAAUGCGUAGAUAUCGAGAGGAACACCUGCGGCGAAGGCGGGUUGCUGGGCCGACACUGACGCUGAGGCGCGAAAGCCAGGGGAGCGAACGGG
rnacentral:rRNA from 1 species